UACAGAGGUCCCGAGCGUUGUUCGGAUUCACUGGGCGUAAAGGGUGCGUAGGUGGCGGGGUAAGUCGGAUGUGAAAGCUCGGAGCUCAACUCCGAAAUGGCAUUGGAAACUACCUUGCUCGAGGGUUGGAGGGGGGACUGGAAUACUUGGUGUAGCAGUGAAAUGCGUAGAUAUCAAGUGGAACACCAGUGGCGAAGGCGAGUCCCUGGACAACUCCUGACACUGAGGCACGAAAGCUAGGGGAGCAAACAGG
rnacentral:rRNA from 1 species